AGUGAACGCUGGCGGUAGGCCUAACACAUGCAAGUCGAACGGCAGCACAGUAAGAGCUUGCUCUUACGGGUGGCGAGUGGCGGACGGGUGAGGAAUACAUCGGAAUCUACUUUUUCGUGGGGGAUAACGUAGGGAAACUUACGCUAAUACCGCAUACGACCUACGGGUGAAAGCAGGGGAUCUUCGGACCUUGCGCGAUUGAAUGAGCCGAUGUCGGAUUAGCUAGUUGGCGGGGUAAAGGCCCACCAAGGCGACGAUCCGUAGCUGGUCUGAGAGGAUGAUCAGCCACACUGGAACUGAGACACGGUCCAGACUCCUACGGGAGGCAGCAGUGGGGAAUAUUGGACAAUGGGCGCAAGCCUGAUCCAGCCAUACCGCGCGGGUGAAGAAGGCCUUCGGGUUGUAAAGCCCUUUUGUUGGGAAAGAAAAGCAGCAGGUUAAUACCCCGCUGUUCUGACGGGACCCAAAGAAUAAGCACCGGCUAACUUCGU
rnacentral:rRNA from 1 species